rnacentral:misc_RNA from 1 species
GAAAUUCUUCACUAAAAGUAUUAAAUUUACUUGUUAGCCUACUAAAAAUAAAUCAUCAAAUAAAAAUAAUUCAUGUCAGCUCAAAUGAAUUGAGAUGUCUAAAUACACCAAAACGGGCCGAGCAAUGAAUACUUAACGGAACACUAAAUGGCCUCACCGCAAGGGCAGAGGAGCCAAAAUCGUUAUUACUAAAAUUCUUGAACCCUGGGCACCCUUUGUACAAAGAGAAUUUUCUGGAUCCAUCCAACUCAAGAUGUAUCAACUGCUCCAUUGACCUGUAAGGAAUACUUGCAGCAGCACCUACAAAUAGCAGUCAAAUCUGUAGUUUAAAUUGUUUGAAAAACAGAUAUUCUGUCAUCAACAUGCCAAGGAU